rnacentral:rRNA from 1 species
UACGUAGGGUGCAAGCGUUGUCCGGAAUUAUUGGGCGUAAAGAGCUCGUAGGCGGUUUGUCGCGUCUGCUGUGAAAACCCGAGGCUCAACCUCGGGCCUGCAGUGGGUACGGGCAGACUAGAGUGCGGUAGGGGAGAAUGGAAUUCCUGGUGUAGCGGUGGAAUGCGCAGAUAUCAGGAGGAACACCGAUGGCGAAGGCAGUUCUCUGGGCCGUUACUGACGCUGAGGAGCGAAAGCGUGGGGAGCGAACAGG